rnacentral:rRNA from 1 species
UGGGGAAUUUUGGACAAUGGGCGAAAGCCUGAUCCAGCAAUGCCGCGUGUGUGAAGAAGGCCUUCGGGUUGUAAAGCACUUUUGUCCGGAAAGAAAUCCUUGGCUCUAAUACAGUCGGGGGAUGACGGUACCGGAAGAAUAAGCACCGGCUAACUACGUGCCAGCAGCCGCGGUAAUACGUAGGGUGCAAGCGUUAAUCGGAAUUACUGGGCGUAAAGCGUGCGCAGGCGGUUUGCUAAGACCGAUGUGAAAUCCCCGGGCUCAACCUGGGAACUGCAUUGGUGACUGGCAGGCUAGAGUAUGGCAGAGGGGGGUAGAAUUCCACGUGUAGCAGUGAAAUGCGUAGAGAUGUGGAGGAAUACCGAUGGCGAAGGCAGCCCCCUGGGCCAAUACUGACGCUCAUGCACGAAAGCGUGGGGAGCAAACAGGAUUAGAUACCCUGGUAGUCCACGCCCUAAACGAUGUCAACUAGUUGUUGGGGAUUCAUUUCCUUAGUAACGUAGCUAACGCGUGAAGUUGACCGCCUGGGGAGUA